UCCUCCGUGGCGCAAUUGGCUAGCGCGUUCGACUGUUAGCAACAGAGAAAUCGAGAGGUUGGUGGUUCGAGCCCACCCGGGGGAG
rnacentral:tRNA from 1 species